UAACAGUGGAGAAAGAUCUUUUUCUGGAGAUCUCUCCUCUGUGUAGUCUUUCCUGUGAACUGAGAUCUUUGGAUACAGCCUGUGCUUUCCGUUACAAUGGACUCUCCUUUGUCUACCUCAUCUACCUCCUGCUCAUUCCUUUGUUUUCAGAACCCACAAAAACAACGAUGCAAGGUGCAGCUAGGUACUGAGAGUUUUAUGGCGCUGUUUCAACUGGAAUAGUGAAAUGGUCUAGGUAGAAAAAUUGAGUCCCCAAAGGCAUCUUUACUAUGCCUAAAGGACUGGAUUUGUAGUUACUGUUAAGAAUUAAAUUUCAACUCUGUCUUUUUAUUCUGCUAUGUUUUAGGCAUUUAUUUAAACUCUGUUGUUACCCUGAUUUAUUUUAUUCAACUGUCUUAGUAAAAAAUAAUAAAUUCUUUUUGGUAGAGAUGACAAGUAGCAUCCAUGUAUCUCAUACCUAUUAGACUUUUACAAUUGUAAAUAUGAAAGCAAUUGUACAAACCUAUGAAGACAGAAACUGUUUCUAUCAAAUAUUACAUUUUGCUGUUUGUAAGGCACUUUCUGUCUGCAUAAAGAAGUGAGUUCUUGAAAGAUAGCCGGGAUGUGUAUGUUACAGUAUUGAAACUUGAGGAUUUACAGUCUGUUAGGGGAAUUUGCAGUGAGGAUAUGUUCACGUAUUAUUCACCUAGUAGCCUCUCAGAUGAGAUUGCAGAUGACUGAACUUCAGUGUACUAAUGUAACAUAUCAUUCCUGUUCAUGCUUACCUGAUUCUACUUCAGACAACAGUGAGAAAUAAUAUUGCACAAUGCUAAAGUAAAAUACUUAUCUCUUUUUUAUGUAAAUAGUGUGAAGGAUGACGUACCUUAGAAAACAAUCUGGUUCCAUGAUACUACCAGUGUAAAGGAGGCAUAUAAAAAACUUCUGAUGCUGACUUUGUCAUAAUUCUACUCACAAAUUCAAUCUCAUGGCUAUGGGAAAUUUUUAUCAUCUUUUACUAUUUUAAUCAACAGAGUUUCUUAAAGAAACAAGUUGGGAAAUCUAGACUAUAAGCAUAGCAUUA